CCGCGCGCUUUCCCGGCUGCGCGCCCGCCCGGUCACGCGCCCUGCUCACCGCGCGCUCGCGUGGGGGCGUCCCCUCUGGCCCCGCGCACGCGCGCUACGUCCCUCAGACUGGCUGCCCCCGAGGGUUCGCGUGAGCGGAGCACGGGGCUCGGGGUGCGGGGGGCUGGUGUGAUGGACGCAUUUGUUCUUCGGUCCCUGACGAUUGUUUCUCAUUUGCCCUCCAAGCCCCAAAUCCUGUCAGUCCACGGCCUUGAUGGAGCGGCCCCCGUGGGACGACCCUGUUGAUUGUGCUAGCGGAUGUUGUCUCCAUUCUGGAUCUGGGAAAAACUGUGGAGUGAAAGCCGGACCUGUUAGGGUUGGGACCUGAAAGCGGACUUUUUCGCUCUCAGACGGGCCCCAGGAAUUUCAUGUUUAACAGAGGUGUCUUCAAGGAGAUGAAACAAUUCAGAAUGACCUAGGCAAUGGGGUAAUUCCUAAGUAUUGUAGGUCAAGAUAUUGGUUACCUAUGAGGGGGUGAUGCCUGGAGGAAGACCUAAGGGGAGGUCUUCUGGAUACUGAGUGCAUGGACUCAGGCCUUAAAACAUUAGCUGUUUCAACUUUCCAUCACUUGCAACACUCACUCUUAGACCCCACCACCGUGCCCUGAGGAAGCCCAAACAACCCAUGGAGACAUCCGCAUGGAGAGACCUGUGCCCUCAGUCCUGGUUGAACUCCCAGCUGACAGUCAAUGUCAACUUGCCAGCCAUAUGAGUGAACCAUACUGAAGUUCAUCAUCCAUCCCUGAGUAAAGCUACGUGAGCUGACACCAUGUGGAGAAGAAACAAGCAUUCUUACUGAGCCCCGCCCAAAUUGCCGAUUCAUGAACUAAAAAAAAAGAUUGCUGUUCAUUUAAGCCACUAAAUUUUAGGAAUGUUUAGUAAGCAGCAAUCUAUAACUAGAACAAUGGUCAAUAAAUGAAAAUUUUACUUUAAGAAGGCAUACUAUAGCCACAUAACUUUGGGAAACUCUCUUGGUUAAAGUUUUAAAAAUUUCCCUUACUGCAGAGCUUUUAAUGGGCUAAUGUGUUUCAUGUUCCCUCACAAGAGUAUCCAGUGUUUCUCAAACAUUUUUAACCACAGAAUCUGUAUUGUAAAGUGCCAUCUUGCGAGAUUGGGGUUAACGGCCAG
rnacentral:lncRNA from 10 species